CGUCAGCUCGUGUCGUGAGAUGUUGGGUUAAGUCCCGCAACGAGCGCAACCCUUGUCGCCAGUUACCAGCAAGUAAAGUUGGGGACUCUGGUGAGACUGCCGGGGACAACUCGGAGGAAGGUGGGGACGACGUCAAAUCAUCAUGCCCCUUAUGUCUUGGGCUACACACGUGCUACAAUGGCUGUAACAAAGGGAAGCGACCUUGCAAGAGGAAGCGGAUCUCAGAAAAGCAGUCCCAGUUCGGAUUGUGGGCUGCAACCCGCCCAC
rnacentral:rRNA from 1 species